AGACCCGAAACCCGGUGAUCUAGCCAUGGGCAGGUUGAAGGUUGGGUAACACUAACUGGAGGACCGAACCGACUAAUGUUGAAAAAUUAGCGGAUGACCUGUGGCUGGGGGUGAAAGGCCAAUCAAACCGGGAGAUAGCUGGUUCUCCCCGAAAGCUAUUUAGGUAGCGCCUCGUGAAUUCAUCUCCGGGGGUAGAGCACUGUUUCGGCCAGGGGGCCAUCCCGGCUUACCAAUCCGAUGCAAACUGCGAAUACCGGAGAAUGUUAUCACGGGAGACACACGGCGGGUGCUAACGUCCGUCGUGAAGAGGGAAACAACCCAGACCGCCAGCUAAGGUCCCAAAGUCAUGGUUAAGUGGGAAACGAUGUGGGAAGGCCCAGACAGCCAGGAUGUUGGCUUAGAAGCAGCCAUCAUUUAAAGAAAGCGUAAUAGCUCACUGGUCGAGUCGGCCUGCGCGGAAGAUGUAACGGGGCUAAACCAUGCACCGAAGCUGCGGCAGCGACACUGAUGUGUUGUUGGGUAGGGGAGCGUUCUGUAAGCCG
rnacentral:rRNA from 1 species